GGGAUUAAAAUUAACCAAGCCCUUGAAGGUGAAUUAGACCAUCUAAGAUGAAGAAAACUGGAGGACGAAGAGAAGUCGAAGCAGGAACUCCACCGUAUGCAACUUUGGGAAACACAGCGGUUCCUGCAUAAUCGGCUGCAGGUCUGGGGCAGAGCGGCCAGAGGUGAGGCUGAAAACCAGGACUGACGCAAAUUUGAAAUGGAUUAUAAAAAACCACGCUAAAGAAUCCAACUAAUCCUUACUGGAUCUGAGGAGCCACAGAAAACAUUAAAGGGAAUGGAAUGACAGAGCAUCUUCUGUUUUCUUAAAUUUUAAUUUGCCAUAACAAAUGAAGCCACAUGCUGUUUCUUCUUAUUAAAGGAAACGUUGUAAACAUUUGGCGUAAGUCUGUGCCAUCCCCUAUCUCUGUGAACAGAAGACCUGCCUACUCUUUAAAUAGGCUCCAAUGGCUUUAUCCCAGAACUCCUGUGGCUCAAAAUACUCCACAUUCUUUUGUCUUUGAUUUCCUGAGCAGCCAGUGUUCCUGUGACUGUCUCCACAUGAAGCUGCUUUAAUUGAUUCUCAAAAUAUAUCUGAGAUUCAUUGGUCAAAAUGGAAGUGCUUUCACAGACUUGUCACUUGGUGAUUAUACACCCCUUCUGCGCGUCAAAUGCUACACAAAUGAAAUGUUUCUGCGAAUGCUUAUUUCUAUUUGUCAGACAGCCAACCUCUGGUCUGAUUGUUUGCUUACAAGGUGAAACCACCUGAAAUUUCCUCAGGAGUCUC
ensembl:lncRNA